rnacentral:rRNA from 1 species
CAAUAGCGUAUAUUAAAGUUGUUGCAGUUAAAAAGCUCGUAGUUGGAUUUCUGGUUGAAGCGACCGGUCGGGCGUUGAUUCGUCUGCACUGGAGUCGGUCUUGGCCAUCCUCUAGGAAAGUGCGUCUGGUAUUAAGUUAUCGGGCGUAUGAUCCUGGUCUUUUACUGUGAAAAAAUUAGAGUGUUUAAAGCAGGCCUUCGCCUUGAAUACAUUAGCAUGGAAUAAUAAGAUAGGACUUUGGUCUAUUUUGUUGGUUUGCAGACCGAAGUAAUGAUUAAUAGGGAUAGUUGGGGGUAUUUAUAUUCCGAUGUCAGAGGUGAAAUUCUUAGAUUUUCGGAAGAUAAACUUAUGCGAAAGCAUUUACCAAGGAUGUUUUCAUUAA